rnacentral:rRNA from 1 species
CCUACGGGAGGCAGCAGUGGGGAAUAUUGCGCAAUGGGCGAAAGCCUGACGCAGCGACGCCGCGUGAGGGAUGAAGGUCUUCGGAUCGUAAACCUCUGUCAGCAGGGAAGAACGGUCACUGUGCUAAUCAGCAGUGAAUUGACGGUACCUGCACAGGAAGCACCGGCUAACUACGUGCCAGCAGCCGCGGUAAUACGGAGGGUGCGAGCGUUAACCGGAAUUACUGGGCGUAAAGCGCUCGUAGGCGGUAUGUCAAGUCAAGGGUGAAAUCCCCGCGCUCAACGUGGGAACUGCCUUUGAAACUGGCAAACUGGAGUGUGUGAGAGGAUAGUGGAAUUCCAGGUGAAGGAGUGAAAGCCGUAGAUAUCUGGAGGAACAUCAGUGGCGAAGGCGACUAUCUGGCACAUAACUGACGCUGAGGAGCGAAAGCGUGGGGAGCAAACAGGAUUAGAUACCCGAGUAGUC